rnacentral:rRNA from 1 species
UACAGAGGUCUCAAGCGUUGUUCGGAUUUACUGGGCGUAAAGGGCGCGCAGGCGGCUCAUUUUGUCAGGCGUGAAAGCCCCGGGCUUAACCUGGGAACUGCGUUUGAUACGGAUGGGCUAGAGUUCGGGAGAGGAGAGUGGAAUUCCCAGUGUAGAGGUGAAAUUCGUAGAUAUUGGGAAGAACACCGGUGGCGAAGGCGGCUCUCUGGACCGAUACUGACGCUGAGGCGCGAAAGCGUGGGGAGCAAACAGG